AACAAACGCUGGCGGCGUGUCUUAAGCAUGCAAGUUGAGCGGCAAGGAGGAGAGAUCCUCCCUAGAGCGGCGGACUGGUGAGUAACGCGUGGGUAAUCUAUCGUAGGCAUGGGGAUAGUCACUAGAAUAGUGGGUAAUACCGAAUACGUUCCAUGAGGGAGUAUUCAUGGAAGAAAGGGUGCUACGGCACUGGCCUUAGGUGAGCUCGCGUCCCAUUAGCUAGUUGGUGAGGUAAAGGCCCACCAAGGCGAUGAUGGGUAGCCGGCCUGAGAGGGUGUACGGCCACACUGGGACUGAGAUACGGCCCAGACUCCUACGGGAGGCAGCAGCUAAGAUAUUCCGCAAUGGACGAAAGUCUGACGGAGCGACGCCGCGUGGAUGAAGAAGGCCGAAAGGUUGUAAAGUUCUUUUGCUAGGGGAGAAUAAGUGAGGGGGGAAUGCCCUCAUGAUGACAAGGACUAGCGAAUAAGCCCCGGCAACUACGUGCCAGCC
rnacentral:rRNA from 1 species